GGUUCGAUGGUGUAGUUGGUUAUCACGUCAGUCUAACACACUGAAGGUCUCCGGUUCAAGCCCGGGUCGAAUCA
rnacentral:tRNA from 3 species